rnacentral:misc_RNA from 1 species
AAAUUUUUUUUUUUUUUUUUCUUUUCUGCGUAGAGCAUCUGUUAUCGUAUCAGAAAAACAAUGCUCUACAACUUGUCGGGUGCUGUAUUUCCCUGCUUCGGCUAAAAUUUUCUGCCAGAAAAAUCUAAUAAAGCAAUUCAAUGGUAAAGGCGUUUGGAUUUUCGAAGAAUUAAUUGGCAUUUGACAAUGCCUUGAAGAAAAAUUUCGAAUGAUGAGGUAUGGUGUUCCAUUUACAAUUUUCCUUAUCAGUCCUGAGGCCAGAAUGAAGAAAAAUAGACAAAUCCAUUCAAGAGGAUACAUUUGCAUGGAUGAGUGCAAACACAAAUUGCAACUCAUACACUCUAAAUAAAUACUUCAUAGCUGAGACACGGAUGCAUGGAUUAUUCAAUGAAAUAUACACCUCAAUUAAAAUAACAAAGGUCAAACGAAGUUAGUUUGAACUUUGUUCACUAAAUGCUCUCCAUAAACUGCUUUUCCAGACUUCCUGAUACCACCAGUCCUCUUUACACAAAUAUCUGAAGGCUCCACAGCUGCAUCAAAGUUGGGCUCAUGGAAAUAAGCUAUGCAUACACGAUAUUUAGGAGAGGAGUUGAUGACCUGAUGCAGAGUUGAAUCAUACAAACCAUUUGACCAAAUCUUUAGCAUGUCCCCAAUGUUGCAUACAAAUGUUCCAGGAAUUGGGGGAGCUGAUAUCCACUCACCAGACAGGUUUCUAACCUUCAACAGCUCAUCUAAUUUAGAAUUCAGGGAAAAAUAAAGCAAGCAGGUUUACUUAGCCUACCUAUAAAGAUCCUUCAACUUAUCGUACUUCGGACUUUACUAAGAAAUGGCUCCUACCUUCUAUGCCCAACCUCACUAUCACAUUCAAUAGCUAAAUUUGAAUGUUCAGGAACAGAAUUUUGGGUAACAUAAUAGCAGCAAAGGUACAAUAAGCACUGUAAAAGAUGUAAUGCAGAUCAUGUUGUCACAAGACUUUGGAACUAGAAGAUAAAUCCUUCUCUCUCACUAGGGCUUUUGAAGAGAGAGAGGGACGGGUGGGUUGUUUGUUGGGGGGGGGGUGUUGGGUGUGUGUGGUGCUUAUAAUUUGAUUAUGGUCACUGAUCUCCAAUACUAAAAUAAAGCUGCCUAUUGCAGGAAAUUAACUGUAACCACAUUAAUUUUAACCACGCUAACAAUUUCAUCCCUAACGUUUGAUUUGAUUCCAUUAAACAAUUGGUCAUUUACUAUUAAUCGUAGAGAAAAGGUCCAAAAUGCCCAUAAUUUUCAGGUGACUAUAAAAAGAAAUCUCCCCGAUCCCAAUCUUUCUCUCUCUCAUUCACAAUCAUGUUCUUCAAUUUCGAUCAAAUUAAGAGUUUGUUUAUUCUUUUUAUUAAAUUGAAUUGCCACUGUCAAUGGCCAAAUUGAGAUGGAUUGCUUAUUUUAAUUUGUUCUUUGAUUAAUUUUGGUUUUGUUUGCUGCUGGAAAUUACCAUUGAGAUGGUUUCUUGGGUGAUAGAGGAGGAGAGGGAGGAUGAGAGAGAGAUUGACAAGUGUAUUUUUUAGAUAAAAAAAAUUUUUGAAUGUCUUUUUUUUUUUUUUUCACUAACCUUAAUUUUGGUUGAUUUUGGACAGAAAGGCCAAUUGAUUAAUGGAAUGAUGAAAUCAUUACGUUUUCAAACAGCAAGGAUGGGCCCGAGUUUUUUCCCCUAACCUCAGGGACUCUUUUAUAAAAUACCCUUUUAUAUAAUAUGCAGUUUUGUAAGGGAAAAAAAAGGGGAACCAAUAGAUUAGUGGUUGGGACAUGGAAUGGAUAAGAGAGGGUAUGAAAAAGUCUAAAAAACAUAUAAUAAAUCCCAACUAGCUUGGGAGUGAGACAUAGGUAGUUAAGAUGAUUUUUGUAAAGUAUAAAAAGCAUGUUAAUUGCAAGGUUUGGAUAUAGGCACCAAAUGGAACCUAUAUGUAACCACUGGUUAUUUCACUGCUCAAGAGAACAAAAGAUUUCUGAAUGUAAAAUAUGUGAUUUCUACAAUGAAAGAUGAGCGCAUAUCUUUACAAGGUCAGUAGAGUUGUCCAGAGAUUCAGCACCAUGUUUUUCUGUCAAUAUGUAGUGGAACAUUUAAGACAGUACUCCCUAAAACUAGAGGAUCAGAAUAGUAGGUCCGUACCUGAAGUGCAGUUAUAUCAUCAUCCUGAUUAACCAAAGUCAACAAACCAUAAUCAGUGUGAGCUCCACAUCCAAUGUCAUUUUCAGCCAAAUCUUGGCCUCUUGCACUAGAUACACCUGGAUAACCAAUAAUACGCAACACCCAAAAUGCAUCACCAGCUAUUUCACCUUCCAAUUCAUCAGCUGAACCACCCAAUGCUAGAGCAAUUCCCCGCAGGAUUUUUCUUGAUAGUUCUGUGCAAAGGGCUGCAUAUUCCUCCAUCAGUGUUUUGAAGUUUGGUGGAUUAAGUGGCCAUUGAUUAUGUCCUUCCAUGGGUUUGCCAAGCUCUCCAUACAGCCCCGGUUUCAUUUCUCUGUAACACUAUAAUGAACAUAAAACAAAACAAUAAUCAUUGUCUAGUGAAGAAAAAAAAAAUGAAAGGAGAAACAGCAGCAGCACUAGUGCACCAGCAAUGGUGAUUAUAAUCACAGAUUCUUCAAAAGAGCCUCCAUGGGAUCAUUGCCUGCACAAGUGGUAGUUGAAACUACAUACAAUAACAGCAAAACAAGUUCAACAUGGAAUGCGCACAACAUUUAUUACUUUUUAUGUUUACUUAUAAUUUAGUAUACUUGCAAAAGCAUCUUAUCUUAGUUAAAAUGCAUAAUACAACAUUCAAAGGAUCACAGAUAUAGGAUGACACUGAAUAAGAAAAACCUACAUCAAUAGCUUCAUGCAUGUCAGGAAUGCCUUUGGUUAUAUUUUCUCCAAUUCUCUGGUAUCCCCUGUAUCCAGCAGCAGCAUUCAUCUUUAUUUUCAAUUUUUCUUCGUAGGGAAGAUCAAAGAAUCUGUGUGAUACGUUUUUAACCUCUUUAAUGAGAGAAUCAGGUAUACCAUGGCCCUUCACGUAGAAGAAUCCAGCUUCUCUACAAGCCUGGUCCAAUUGUUUAACGACUUCACACACAGUGGGGUCCCGAGCCAUGUUUGGAUCAUCACACUUGGCUACCAAAGGACCAAUAUCGAUAAUUGGGAUAUAUUUGAAAUCGGUGGCCAUGACGCUUUGCCUGAGGAUCUCUGUGAUUGUGAAAUGGAUCCAAAGGGGCUGCUAAGUACAGUCUAUUAAUGAGAAAGGGAAGAGUAGUGUUUAAUCACGGAAUGUGAAAGUUUUCUUGUCGUCUUCUUCUGUCUUUUUCCAAGAGAGAAGCCUA